rnacentral:rRNA from 1 species
ACGGGAGGCCGCAGUGGGGAAUAUUGGGCAAUGGGCGAAAGCCUGACCCAGCAACGCCGCGUGAAGGAAGAAGGUCUUCGGAUUGUAAACUUCUUUUAUGAGGGACGAAGGACGUGACGGUUCCUCAUGAAUAAGCCACUGCUAACUACGUGCCAGCAGCCGCGGUACUACGUAGGCGGCAAGCGUUAUCCGGAGUUACUGGGUGUAAAGGGCGCGUAGGCGGGGAUGCAAGUCAGGUGUGAAAUCUAUGGGCUUAACUCAUAAACUGCACUUGAAACUGUAUCUCUUGAGUGCUGGAGAGGUAGAUGGAAUUCCUUGUGUAGCGGUGAAAUGCGUAGAUAUAAGGAAGAACACCAGUGGCGAAGGCGAUCUACUGGACAGUAACUGACGCUGAGGCGCGAAAGCGUGGGGAGCAAACAGGAUUAGAUACCCUGGUA